CAUUUCAGGAGCUCGGUACUGGGGUGUAGUAUAAGCAGCAAUAUUUUGCUCUAAAAACAUUAUUGUGUCGGGCGUUGUAGCUGGGGCCAAUGGUUCACAUGCACUUCCAAAAUCACAAAGCUUGUAAGAAUUCGGAGCCACCAACAAAACAUUUUCAAUUUUUAAAUCUCUAUGGAUUAAAGGGGGAUCUAAGUAGUGCAUAGCGGCUACAGCAUCACAAACGUCUGCUAGAAUUUUUAAUAUUUCGCCUUCAGUUAACCGAUGUUGCAACCGAGUAUUCAUAAAGUCAAUCAGACCACCACCAGCACAAAACUCCAUAAGCAAGUAGACUUCAUAACGAUUUUCUGAUUUGGAAUAAAGUGCACUUGAAUCGAUAUAAUUAACUAUAUGACGAUGACCUUUUAGCCGCUUCAUCGUCUCAAUUUCUCCAUGAACAAGUUGUAAAGCAGUUUUAUCAGGGACAUAUAUACGUUUUAAAACAAAGGGUUUCUCAUUUUCCAAUAAAGCAAGAUAAACAUGAGAAAAUCCGCCUUCACUGAGGUAGCGCUGGAUAAUGACACUGUGUGAGCCAACUUGAAUUUUAGUACCAGCUGGAAUCUUACUAAACAAAUCAGUCCUUACCGGAGCUGGAGAUUUCGGAACUGAGUAGGCUUUAUUAGAAGUUCCAUUGUUUGAUAAUUUGACUUGGCCUACGGUAGCCGGUGCUUUCGAGUAGACUUCUGUCAUAUGCAAUUAGAACAAUAAUGGAAUUCCAAACAAACAAUUAGGA